rnacentral:rRNA from 1 species
UACGUAGGGGGCAAGCGUUGUCCGGAUUUAUUGGGCGUAAAGAGCGUGUAGGCGGCCUGGAAGGUCAGCUGUGAAACUCGAGGCUCAACCUCGAGACGUCGGUUGAAACCACCUGGCUAGAGUCCGGAAGAGGAGAGUGGAAUUCCCGGUGUAGCGGUGAAAUGCGCAGAUAUCGGGAAGAACACCCGUGGCGAAGGCGGCUCUCUGGGACGGUACUGACGCUGAGACGCGAAAGCGUGGGGAGCGAACAGG